ACAGAUUUCACGAAGGUGAUAGUUGAAGAUUUGAGAGGAGGCAAAAUUCCUCUUUCAAAAUACGACUGCAAUUUGGUGCUAGAAAAUGGAUGUGAAUUUUGGGAUCUGACUAAUGGAUGGGAAAAGAAACUGAACAUUGAGAACUUGUCAGACCCCUACCCUAAGGUCACGGACUAUCGAUGGAAUGAUCUGCCAGUUAUCUACACAAACGGAAGUCUUAAGGAGAUGAUAAAUUUCACGAAUGACCACAGUUUUAAAAUGCACUUUUCAAUUUUGGCUAGAGACUCUGCACAGUUCCUUUUCACAAACGAUUCGUCAUUAAAUAGGGGAUUUCACGCUGCUAUCGACGGAUGGGGAGGGGAACAUAAAUCUGCUUUGAAAUACGGCACAAACUUCACAGGAAGAUAUCCGACUUGCUUGGCAAUGUACCAAAACACAUCGGGAAAUCCUAUUCUCAGCGCUAGCAAGAAAUGGGCGCACGCCACUCUCCAAAUUUCAUUUAAUGCAACCAAUGAAAGAUUCAAGGAUUUGCUAAUUUUAAAUGAGACUAAAAAUAUUCAUUUCUUACCCAAUCG